UACGUAGGGUGCGAGCGUUGUCCGGAUUUAUUGGGCGUAAAGAGCUCGUAGGCGGUUUGUCGCGUCGGCCGUGAAAUCUCCACGCUUAACGUGGAGCGUGCGGUCGAUACGGGCAGACUUGAGUUCGGUAGGGGAGACUGGAAUUCCUGGUGUAGCGGUGAAAUGCGCAGAUAUCAGGAAGAACACCCGUGGCGAAGGCGGCUCUCUGGGACGGUACUGACGCUGAGGAGCGAAAGCGUGGGGAGCAAACAGG
rnacentral:rRNA from 1 species